GCCACUUCUGUUUCUCUUUUGAGUUGCUAUAAAGUACAGACGAUUCUACCAACCUUGACACAAACGCCCAGCUGCCCCCAGUUCAGUGCCACAGAGAAAAGCCUUGCAGAACAGGUUGAGUUUGUGGAUGGGCAUGGGGUAGAAGGUAUCAUCUCUUCUCUAUCAAUGACUUGGGUGAUACUUCUGGCAACAAAACAGACAGUUCUCGGCCUCUGUGUUUUCAUUGUCCAACUGAAGAUUAGACAAGAGGCAGCAUGGGGUGGUGGAUAAAUCGUGGACCAGGAUUGAAGCGAAGAUCUGCUCAUCUGGGACACUCACCAGGUGGAAAAAAUCAACCCUCAGAAGGUGAGUGAAAUCAGCAUACUCUCAGCAAGCUAGGCCAGCCUUAUUCUGGGCAAGAUGGAAUACAGUGCCCACCUGCCCCUU
rnacentral:lncRNA from 1 species